CUCUUACUCUCUCACAUACAACAAGCUUAAAGAAAUAUGCAGACUCCAUUCUUCCUAGAGAUCACUCUAGGAUUAUUGUUAAUUCCCUUUUAUCAUGCAAUUAUUUUCCUAUUUUUCCGCUAUUUUUCUACUUAUUUGACAAGGAGUCUUGAAAUAUGUUUCUAUGAGGUUAUUUAAUUAUAUAUUUUAAUCUAUUUCUUGGUGUACUGAAUUAGCUUAUCCUUUUCUGCUCAACAUAUGCUGGAACCUGUGAAAAAAAUCUUAUCUAAAAACCCAAGAGGAAAGGAAAGAAUUUGGAGUCUUAAUUUUUUUUUUCUUUUGGUUUUAUCUGUUAUUUAUAUGUUAAUUUUCUCCUUACUUAUCUUUUUGUGGAGCAAGAACCAUUAACGUUCCAAAGAAAUAAGGUUUUCUUUAUGUUUGAUUUUUAUUCUGAAAAUGAUGAAAUCUCUAGUGGCUAGAUAGUCCACUAUUGUAGCUAAAAUUGUUACUCCAUUGUUCCAAGAUAUGGAUGUACUUAGAUUUCCCCCCUAUAAAUAUGUCUAUGUAAAGCAUUUAUGAUAACCAUUUUUAAUGGUUGAAGGAUAGGGUUUUCUGGUCCACUUGAAGACAUUCAUAAAAUUGAAGCGAUACAGAUAAAAUAGGGUUUCUGGGUCGAUGGUUGAACGGUCAACGCAGUUGUUGUUUGCAGAUGUAGCAUCAUCAAGAUUCACAUAUUAUAAAGGCAUGAUGAUUAACGACCAUGGCCUUUUUGGAGGUGAGAAUCUUGAUGAUGCUGCAUUAGCAAUAAACGACUACCUAACUUACUGGAGCUGAGGCUGACACUCUAAGCAAAAGGAGAAAUUCAGACCCCAGAAGUAUAGUACGGUGAAUUUGGAUCUUUGUUUUAUUUUGAGACUGUUCACUGCUCUUUUUGAAGACCCUGCUGAUGAAAUGAGGACUGUGUAGAUCUGUGAUUAUUCUUUCCUGGCAAGUGAAGUUCUGAUUAUUAAUGGUAUCUCAACCUGAUAGAUCAGAAGUUGUCUUUCAUCUCUCUCUCACACACACAGUGUGUGCUUUAUUUUCUUGAUGUAGUUUGAUUGAAUUAUAGAAAUAUUACCAUCAUAUUAUUCGGUUCUUUUUUUUUUCUGUUUGUUUACAAAAAUAAAAACCUACCUUAGCUAAUUGUUCAAUAGUGUUGGAGAUUUUUAUCAAAACCUAAGAUUGUUUGAAUAAGAUUUGAUUUGGUUGAUUUAGUCGUUUUUCAAAGAACUUUUGGCACUUUUAACUUUAAACCUGAUAUAUUUUAGGUCUUCAGAAGAGAAAGAGCUAAAGGAGACGAACAAGGGUUGUGAUGGACUCCAUCAUCCAUACUCAGAGGUCUCGGGUUUGAGUCCGGAGAUCCAUGCCGUGAUACCCGGCUGGUCACGGAUGUCACGGCCUUCUGUUAAUCGUGCUCGGUUGCCUGACAACACUCUUUGAAGUCUUUUGGGAUUUUGACCGAUCCCGGGGUCAUGGCCCCGAUUUUUCCGUGGGUGGGUGAUGUGCCCCCGGACCCUGGCUCGAUGAGACUCUCGCCUCGAUUCCGAUUUUUUAUCAUGACGUCUCUUGCUGGAUUUACCUUAUUGGAAACCAGGGUGUCCCAUGGGCCCGGUUUCACCCGUAUACACCCUUUCUCUUUCCUUUUCAAAUUGUUUUCCUCCUUUAGUGUUUUGCUACACACUUCAUGUAUAUUGAUGAUGUACCUACAAUAGGUGUCAAUUCAAUUCUCACUGUAUUCCCGCCCUCUUUCUUGAUCCCCUAUAUAACGUAAGGAUUUUUUAAGAAUA